rnacentral:rRNA from 1 species
UACGGAGGAUGCGAGCGUUAUCCGGAUUUAUUGGGUUUAAAGGGUGCGUAGGCGGCUUUUUAAGUCAGCGGUGAAAUUUUGCAGCUUAACUGUAACAGUGCCGUUGAUACUGGGGAGCUAGGAUUUGGUUGCUGUGGGUGGAAUGUGUGGUGUAGCGGUGAAAUGCUUAGAGAUCACACAGAAUAUCGAUUGCGAAGGCAGCUCAGAAAGCCAAGAUUGACGCUGAGGCACGAAAGUGUGGGGAUCAAACAGGA